rnacentral:rRNA from 1 species
GACGAACGCUGGCGGCGUGCUUAACACAUGCCAGUCGAACGCUGAAGCACCAGCUUGCUGGUGUGGAUGAGUGGCGAACGGGUGAGUAAUACGUGAGUAACCUGCCCUUGACUCUGGGAUAAGCCCGGGAAACUGGGUCUAAUACUGGAUGCUACAUGUCACCGCAUGGUGGUGUGUGGAAAGGGUUUACUGGUCUUGGAUGGGCUCACGGCCUAUCAGCUUGUUGGUGAGGUAAUGGCUCACCAAGGCGACGACGGGUAGCCGGCCUGAGAGGGUGACCGGCCACACUGGGACUGAGACACGGCCCAGACUCCUACGGGAGGCAGCAGUGGGGAAUAUUGCACAAUGGGCGAAAGCCUGAUGCAGCGACGCCGCGUGAGGGAUGACGGCCUUCGGGUUGUAAACCUCUUUCAGCAGGGAAGAAGCCACAAGUGACAGUACCUGCAGAAGAAGCGCCGGCUAACUACGUG